AUACGGAGGGUGCGAGCGUUAAUCGGAAUUACUGGGCGUAAAGCGUGCGUAGGCGGUUCGUUAAGUCAGAUGUGAAAGCCCUGGGCUCAACCUGGGAACUGCAUUUGAAACUGGCGGACUAGAGUUUAGUAGAGGGGAGUGGAAUUUCAGGUGUAGCGGUGAAAUGCGUAGAGAUCUGAAGGAACACCAGUGGCGAAGGCGACUCUCUGGCCUAAAACUGACGCUGAGGUACGAAAGCGUGGGUAGCAAACAGGAUUAGAUACCCUGGUAGUCCACGCCGUAAACGAUGUCAACUAGCCGUUGGCUCUCUUAGAGAGUUAGUGGCGCAGCUAACGCAUUAAGUUGACCGCCUGGGGAGUACGGCCGCAAGGUUAAA
rnacentral:rRNA from 1 species